rnacentral:tRNA from 1 species
UAAGGUAAAGCUUAUUUAAAGUUUUUUAUUUACGCUAAUUAGAUUCCUUCUGGAUACCUUAU